AGCAGUCGCCGCGGGAAAACCAGCACCUCGAGUGGUCAGGAGGUUUAUUGGGCCUAAAGCAUCCGUAGCCGGUCGCAUAAGUUUUCGGUUAAAUCUAUGCGCUUAACGUAUAGGCCGCCGAAAAUACUGUGCAGCUAGGGAGUGGGAGAGGUACACGGUACUCGAUAGGAAGGGGUAAAAUCCUUUGAUCUAUUGAUGACCACCUGUGGCGAAGGCGGUGUACCAGAACACGUUCGACGGUGAGGGAUGAAAGCUGGGGGAGCAAACCGGAUUAGAUACCCCCGUAGUCCCUGUCUCUUAUAC
rnacentral:rRNA from 1 species